UCUCCGUUGGUAAACCAGCGGAGGGAUCAUUACAGGAACUCGCAAGACUCCUAACCCACUGUGAACCUACCCGACGUUGCCUCGGCGGGCGCCCGGCCUCGCGCCGGGCACCAAGCCCGCCGGCGGCCCCCUACUCUGUCUCUGCAGCGUUGUGUCUCCGAGUAUACCAAAACAAGUCAAAACUUUCAACAACGGAUCUCUUGGCUCUA
rnacentral:misc_RNA from 1 species